rnacentral:lncRNA from 12 species
UGUAUAUCCAUGCAAAUAGAUGUUUAUAAACAUGGAAAUAUCUUCAACCUAUAUUGGAAGAAAAAAAUAGUUUCAUGGAUUGUAAUGAUUUCAUUUUGUGAAAUAAUGUGUGUACAUAUUUAUGCAUAGUUUAUAUACCUGUAGUCUCACAGAGGGAAACUAGAAAUGUAUGCUUCUGACUUUUAACAAUUUAGAAAGGAAAUAUUAAUAGUUAUCACCUCUAAGUAGUAAGAUUAUGGGUGAUUUUCUUUUUCCUUUGUGUAUAUCUAGACUUCAUGUAUUUUCUACAAUACAUACUCAUUACUUUUGUGUUAUUAGAGAAAUAAAAAUGAUUUAUUUAAAAACGUAGUAUCUGCACAGUAGUGGAAAGCUGCCCAGUUAUAUCUGUCCUGAGCCAGAGAGAGAAUAUAGCUGUGGUCAGGCCAUGUUCCUCCCCACCAUUUUCUGUGUGGUAUUUCAGUCAGAAAUGUUUUCAGCUACAAGUAACAGAAAAUCUAACAGACGGUAACAUUUGUUUACGCAUUAUGUCUGGAGGUAGGCAAUUUCAGGAUUGGCCUGGAAGUUUAUUACCAACCUUCUUUCUCCUCUGUGAUCCUAAAGUAUUGGCUUUUUAUCUACAUGCAUGAACCCACAUGGUAUUAAGAUGGCCACUCUCCCUUUUUACAUUCAAGGCACAAGGAAGGAGGAAGAGGCUGCAUUGGCAUGUCUGCAAAGCAAGUCUUUCUGGGACAGGGGAGAAGGGGCUUGGGAAGAGUGUUGGAUAAGCCAGUCAGAAAUGUUGGCCCUAGGGGACUUUGGAGUAUGCUAAGCAGAAGACAACUGACAAUGCCACCUACUUGAAGAGCUCCAAGAAGACAUUCUAAGUGAAAGGUUGAUAAGACAUGACUUAGUGAAAAUCAGUCAUAGGCAAAACUUGGAAGGACCAAGAUGAAUUUCAGAUUGAGUUAAUUUUAACCUAACCUUCCAAAAUUCUUCACCAUCCCAUGGUACCCACCCAUUUUCUUUUCUGCAUUUAUAUUUCAUAUGCUUUUUGUAUUCACUUGCCAUAAUCCAAUCAACACAGGGUCUUGGGGCUUCAAGCCUCCUCUUUCUUACUGGAACACUGAGGCAUCUAAGAUGACAAAGGGCAAUGUAGGCAGAGGCUUGCCUUAGCUCCUCCGGAGCUGACGAAGCCUAGUGCCACUCUGAGCUUUGUGGCCACCAUCCUAGAUCAUGUCGUUGGGUUUUCCCUUGAAUCCAAACAUGUAAUACAAACCUGUGGGCUCAAACUAUAGUAGAAUUUGGGCAGAAAGAGCCAAUCUGGAAUAUCAUCAUUUAAGGGACAUGAAAGGAGUUUAAGAAGGUUUAGAAGAGAAAGGGACCUAGAAAGAAAGAAAACCAACACAACCUCUGAGACAGAAGGGAGGUAAAGGAGCCCCUUUCCUGAAAUUUCGGGCAACUUCUGGUUUAAGUUAACUUUGAAGAGUAAAAUGACUUACCAGAAAAAGUAAAUUAAUUUUUCAUAAUUAUCAGUUUUUCAAACCCAGUAGUCUACCAAAGUAUUUAAUUUGGUUUCACACUUUUUUGAAGAUCUUAAAGUACCUCAUGCCAAUUACUUUAGAAUCACAUAUAAAAAUAGUGCAAAUAGGAGUGCCUGGUUGGCUCAGUCAAUAUGACUCUUUAGUUGGCAUGAAACUCCUAAUCUUAGGAUGAUGAGUUUGAGCCCCACAUUGGGCAUAGUGUUUACUUUAAAAAAAAAAAUAGUGCAAAUAAACUAGAAAUGGUUGUGCUUAAACUGAAAAGG